CCUACGGGUUGCACCAGUGGGGAAUAUUGCACAAUGGGCGCAAGCCUGAUGCAGCCAUGCCGCGUGUAUGAAGAAGGCCUUCGGGUUGUAAAGUACUUUCAGCGGGGAGGAAGGUGUUGUGGUUAAUAACCGCAGCAAUUGGCGUUACCCGCAGAAGAAGCACCGGCUAACUCCGUGCCAGCAGCCGCGGUAAUACGGAGGGUGCAAGCGUUAAUCGGAAUUACUGGGCGUAAAGCGCACGCAGGCGGUCUGUCAAGUCGGAUGUGAAAUCCCCGGGCUCAACCUGGGAACUGCAUUCGAAACUGGCAGGCUAGAGUCUUGUAGAGGGGGGUAGAAUUCCAGGUGUAGCGGUGAAAUGCGUAGAGAUCUGGAGGAAUACCGGUGGCGAAGGCGGCCCCCUGGACAAAGACUGACGCUCAGGUGCGAAAGCGUGGGGAGCAAACAGGAUUAGAUACCCCCGUAGUC
rnacentral:rRNA from 1 species